AAUGAGUUUCUCCCGCUUCAUCUCUUCAUCUUUGCCAAACAAAAUAGAAGAACUUCUCCUCCUUAUAUCUGUUGAUUGAUUAUGGCUCUGCAGUGUUGAAUCGAAGACUUCCUCUACCAUCAACGCUCUACAAUAGAAGGUCCGCCCUUUCUCUUUUUUCUCCUGAAAUUUUUCCCAAAUUUUUUGCCCUAAUUAAUUUUUUGCUAAAAAUUUCUCUCCAAUUUUUUUGGGUUUCUUUUGAUUUAUGGAUGGAGUCAUCUCCUGAUUGUGGAAUUUGUUUUGUUGUGGAUUUCUACCCUAAAAUUUUUUCCCAACUUUUUCUUAUACAAGACAAGGGGCUUUAGAGAGAUUCGAUUGUGGGUACAUACCGAUUUGUGAUGGGCCUAGGAGGGCAAAUUUAGUGUUUCAUUUUUUGUGUUAGUGGGAAUGGAAGAGAAUCAGGAGUGAUUUUGUGAAUUUUUUGGUAGUGAGUGGUUGAAUGCGAGGAAACUAGUUGGUAGAAUGGUGUUGGGUUAAGAGGGAAAUGAAAAAUAGUGAUUCGGGAUUUAAUUAAGUGGAUAAGUAGCUCAAGAUCUAGGUACAAGGUUUGGUGAAAAUUUUUGUACUGUCAAAGAUAUCUUUUGUUUUGUUGAAAUUUGGUUAAUUGUAAUGGGAAUUUCACCAAUAAACUAUUUAUUUAGUUGGAGUGUGCUUUCUCCUUCACAUUGCCAAAGCGUGUAUGGCCCUGUUUCUUGUUUGUUUGAUUUGGAGUGGUAAUUUUUUCCUAUUUCCCAAAAAGCGAUCUCAUUAAGAAAAAAAGGAAAAAAUAGAUUUUUGUAAGAUGGAUUUGAUGGUGGGAUUUAUGAUACUAACUUCAACCAUUACCAUACCAGUCCUUUGUGUUCCUCCUGUUGUUCUAAACAUCUAAAUAUAUAGUCAAAUUUGUCACUUCACUUAAUAGUUAGGUCAAUCUGCAUUAUGUCUAUCAUACGAGUCCUUUGUGUUCCUAUUACUGCAUUAUGUCACUUCACUUAAAAGAUGUUGGAAAUGAUACAAGGAAAGGCAAUUGCUAUAGACCUAUGGCUAUCCAAACAAUAUUAAGUGAUCAUGAUAAUCUGCUGAUUCAUCUGGGGUCUUAUGAACUUAAAAGAAUCACUUGAAAUAGUCUUGACAAUAGGAAAAUAGUGGAGCUGAUAUGGAAUUAGUCACAUUUUAGUUGGGUCUUAACUUGUAUGCCUUGAUACAAGAAAAGCUUGAGCACAUUAACCUAAAAUGGAAAGCUAGUUAAAAGCUUUCACAAGUUAGUUCAAUUUAGUAUUUACCUACUAGGAGUUUGGCUUGUUAUUUGAGAUUGAUAUAUAGUGCUGCUGUAAUUUCACUGUGGAUAAUUAACCAACUCAGAUUGAAUCACUUAAGAAUGAGGCAUGAAGUUUAAGAUGAGAUGACUUUAUAGAUAGAUACAUACAUAGUUGUGUCUUAUAGGUGGAUCAUGGAGUUCACCUUUGCAUAUUCUGAGCGGUGAAAAAUUCAUCCUUAUCUUAUUUUUCAUUCAAUUAAUUGAGAGCUUAUCAGCUCAAUAGCUUUUCACUUAACUAUUAGGUACUUUUUAGUCUUAGGAAAGCAAAGUUAAUUUGUUACAAGUCUAUACCAGAGUAAAGUGAUAUAUGCUAAGUGGCAACUAGAACGGCUAUCUAUUUAUUUAAUGUAAAUACAGCUUUGAACAGAAUUUUUGUAGAAAAGUUGCAUUGUAGUAUAGACUUUCAUGUAAUUACGUAUGAUGCCUGACCUCUGCAUAAUCAAUUAAUCCACUGGCUUCUUGUACAGAUUGGAUCACUGAGUUGAGUAAUUCUCUGCAAUUAACUUGUCCAUUUUCUGCUGUAAAUUUAGCUUCAGUCAACGAGCGACUUAUGGACAAGGCCUACAAAAUACCAUGAAGAGCAAAAGGUAUUGGUACCAGGACAUGCCCUGAUUUGGUUUUGACAGAUUAAACUAAGCACAAAUAAGUUG
rnacentral:lncRNA from 1 species